rnacentral:rRNA from 1 species
AUUGAACGCUGGCGGCAGGCCUAACACAUGCAAGUCGAGCGAGCGGCGGACGGGUGAGUAAUGUCUGGGAAACUGCCUGAUGGAGGGGGAUAACUAAUGGAAACGGUAGCUAAUACCGCAUACCAUCAGAUGUGCCCAGAUGGGAUUAUCUAGAAGGUGGGGUAAUGGCGCACCGAGGCGACGAUCCCUAGCUGGGCUGAGAGGAUGACCAGACAAACGGGAACGGAGAAACGGUCCAGAUUCCUACGGGAGGCAGAAGUGGGGAAUAUUGCACAAUGGGCGCAAGCCUGAUGCAGCCAUGCCGCGUGUGUGAAGAAGGCUGUCGGGUUGUAAAGCACGUUCAGCGAGGAGGCGUUACUCGCAGAAGAAGCACCGGCUAACUCCGUGCCAGCAGCCGCGGUAAUUC